GACAGAGGGUGCAAACGUUGCUCGGAAUUACUGGGCGUAAAGCGUGUGUAGGCGGCUACGUAAGUCGGAUGUGAAAGCCCCAGGCUCAACCUGGGAAGUGCACUCGAUACUGCGUAGCUUGAGUAUCGGAGAGGUUGGUGGAAUUCUCGGUGUAGAGGUGAAAUUCGUAGAUAUCGAGAGGAACACCGGUGGCGAAGGCGGCCAACUGGACGAAUACUGACGCUGAGACACGAAAGCGUGGGGAGCAAACAGG
rnacentral:rRNA from 1 species